rnacentral:rRNA from 1 species
GACGAACGCUGGCGGCGUGCUUAACACAUGCAAGUCGAACGGAAAGGCCCUGCUUUUGUGGGGUGCUCGAGUGGCGAACGGGUGAGUAACACGUGAGUAACCUGCCCUUGACUUUGGGAUAACUUCAGGAAACUGGGGCUAAUACCGGAUAGGAGCUCCUGCUGCAUGGUGGGGGUUGGAAAGUUUCGGCGGUUGGGGAUGGACUCGCGGCUUAUCAGCUUGUUGGUGGGGUAGUGGCUUACCAAGGCUUUGACGGGUAGCCGGACUGAGAGGGUGACCGGCCACAUUGGGACUGAGAUAGGGCCCAGACUCCUACGGGAGGCAGCAGUGGGGAAUAUUGCACAAUGGGCGGAAGCCUGAUGCAGCAACGCCGCGUGCGGGAUGACGGCCUUCGGGUUGUAAACCGCUUUCGCCUGUGACGAAGCGUGAGUGACGGUAAUGGGUAAAGAAGCACCGGCUAACUACGUG